UACUGGGCAAGUAGCACAGUUGUUGCUGUCCUUAUAUAUAGCUUAAAUUCUUUUUUUGCUUCCUUUUCAGCCCCUCACUCCAACUAUUGACCAUACCUGCUUGGAGGUGGCCAUUUGCUUGGAUCCCUUUUCAGAAAUCAAAGACCGGAAAAAGAUGAGAAUGUGAAUUGUUUACAGGUAGCAGGAGAUUCAAACUCCAGUGAACAGCAUUUUGUAUGAAUCUUUCCUGUUCAUGAUGGACAAAAGAAAGGAAAACACCAGACUGCAGAGGUGAACAGUGAAACUUGCUCUACAACAAUAUGAACCACUGGCAGAUAAGAGAUGCCUGUGAUGGUGCUUCUGGUGCAAAUGCUGCCCAAGCGGACUUUUGGACUUACCACGGGAGAU
rnacentral:lncRNA from 1 species